rnacentral:rRNA from 1 species
UACGAAGGGGGCUAGCGUUGUUCGGAAUUACUGGGCGUAAAGCGCACGUAGGCGGAUCGAUCAGUCAGGGGUGAAAUCCCAGGGCUCAACCCUGGAACUGCCUUUGAUACUGUCGAUCUGGAGUAUGGAAGAGGUGAGUGGAAUUCCGAGUGUAGAGGUGAAAUUCGUAGAUAUUCGGAGGAACACCAGUGGCGAAGGCGGCGAUCUGGGAAGAUACUGACGCUGAGGUGCGAAAGCGUGGGGAGCAAACAGG